CUGAUGAAUGACAGGUGAAUGUAUUUUUUUUUCAGCUAUAGCGGAAUUUGUGUGCCUUCAAAUGCUGGAGCACUGUAUGUUUCAGAACAUUCAUUGCAGUACCAAUUUUAUAGUACUGAUACAGAAAAGGGAAAGAACAGUCCUCCUGAAAUAUCUACAACCUCUGUAGGAAUUAGCCCCUUUCAAGACAAUAUAACUCAAGAAAAGGCCAGACUCGAUGAUAAAGGCAAAACGAGGCGAAAAUGACCACUAGACAAGGAUGGGCCUCGAAAGAUUGCAGGCACAGUUGCAAAACCCCAGCCAGAACCAACUUCAGAGACAGCCAAGAAACAGAAACAGAUUUUAAUUAAACCAGCCAGUUUGAAUUGACUGAAAUGAAGGCUGCAGAACUUCCUGUUGCCGGUACUACCCAGGCCAGUGACAUUAAUUGUUGUGGAUGAAAUAUAUCAAAGGAUAUUAUUAGAGAAAAAAAAUCACUUACUGGUCUUAAUGAAAAACAAUUCUCUGGUCUGGUACCGCAACAUAACUUCUCAAUAUCUCCACAUUUGUCAUAGGAACACCAAUCUGGCGCAGUUGAGGUUGGAUAUGGGGGUUGGAUUGGCUGUUGGUUUCUUGGUUCUUCAGAAAUGUCAAAUAAAACUGCAGGCAUUUUUUCAGCCACAGACAACAAAAGUAUCCUACAUCCAUCCACUUCUACCAUUUUCUGAAAUUGUUUGAAAAUUAUGUUUCCAAUUUGUAAAUAAUUAUCUCUGGGCACAUAUACUGUGUAAAUAUUUUAUAUAAUUAUUAGCAGAAAUGAUCAUAUUCAAAAAAAGUAGGGGAUAUUUGAUUUUUAAGUGUUAUUAAAGUCACCUAAUGAA